UGGCUCAGUGGUAGAGCAUGGUGUGUGCAACGCCAGGGUUGUGGGUUUGAUUCCCAC
rnacentral:tRNA from 1 species